rnacentral:rRNA from 1 species
GGCUCAGGACGAACGCUGGCGGCGCGCUUACACAUGCAAGUCGAGCGAGAACCUGGGCUUCGGCCCUGGGGACAGCGGCGAACGGGUGAGUAACACGUGGGUAAUCUGCCCUUGACAUCGGGAUAGCCCGGGGAAACCCGGAUUAAUACCGAAUAGCCUCCGGAGCCUUCGGGCGCCGGAGAAAAGGUAGCUUCGGCCUCUGGUCAAGGAUGAGCCCGCGGCGGAUUAGCUUGUUGGCGGGGUAAUGGCCCACCAAGGCGACGAUCCGUAGCUGGUCUGAGAGGACGAUCAGCCACACUGGGACUGAGACACGGCCCAGACUCCUACGGGAGGCAGCAGUGGGGAAUCUUGCGCAAAUGCGGGAAACCGUGACGCAGCGACGCCGCGUGGGGGAAGAAGGCCUUCGGGUUGUAAACCUCUUUCAGGAGGGACGAAGCUACUCGGGUUAAUAGCCCAGAGGGUGACGGUACCUUCAGAAGAAGCCCCGGCUAACUACGUGCCAGCAGCCGCGGUAAUACGUAGGGGGCAAGCGUUGUCCGGAUUUAUUGGGCGUAAAGAGCGUGUAGGCGGCUUGGCAAGUCUGCUGUGAAAACUCGAGGCUCAACCUCGAGCUGUCGGCGGAAACUGCUUGGCUAGAGUCCGGAAGAGGAGAGUGGAAUUCCUGGUGUAGCGGUGAAAUGCGCAGAUAUCAGGAAGAACACCUAUGGCGAAGGCAGCUCUCUGGGACGGUACUGACGCUGAGACGCGAAAGCGUGGGGAGCGAACAGGAUUAGAUACCCUGGUAGUCCACGCCGUAAACGAUGGGUGCUAGGUGUGGGCGGUGUCGACUCCGUCCGUGCCGAAGCUAACGCAUUAAGCACCCCGCCUGGGGAGUACGGCCGCAAGGCUAAAACU